rnacentral:rRNA from 1 species
UACGUAGGGUCCGAGCGUUGUCCGGAUUUAUUGGGCGUAAAGAGCUCGUAGGCGGUUCCGUAAGUCAGAUGUGAAAACUCAGGGCUCAACCCGGAGACGCCAUCUGAUACUGCGGUGACUGGAGUCUGGUAGGGGAACACGGAAUUCCUGGUGUAGCGGUGAAAUGCGCAGAUAUCAGGAGGAACACCAGUGGCGAAGGCGACUACCUGGCCUGUUCUUGACGCUGAGGCGCGAAAGCUAGGGGAGCAAACGGG